GGAAGGAUCAUUACAGAAUCGUCAACGGGUUGUUGCUGGUCCUCAAACGGGGACAUGUGCACGCUCUGUUUACACAUCCACUCACACCUGUGCACCCUCCGUAGUUCUGUGGUCUGGGGGAUCCUGUCUUCCUGCCGUGGUUCUACGUCUUUACACACACACUGUAAUAAAGUCUUAUGGAAUGUAUGCCGCGUCUAACGCAAUACAAUACAACUUUCAGCAACGGAUCUCUUGGCUCUCGCAUCGAUGAAGAACGCAGCGAAAUGCGAUAAGUAAUGUGAAUUGCAGAAUUCAGUGAAUCAUCGAAUCUUUGAACGCACCUUGCGCCCCUUGGCUAUUCCGAGGGGCAUGCCUGUUUGAGUAUCAUGAACACCUCAACUCUCAUGGUUUGCCGUGAUGAGCUUGGACUCUGGGGGUUUUGCUGGCCUGCGGUCGGCUCCCCUCAAAUGAAUCAGCCUCCCAGUGUUUGGUGGCAUCACGGGUGUGAUAAAUAUCUACGCUCGCAGUUGUCCGCCAGGUAACCUUUGGUAACAAAGGUUCGCUGGAGCUCACAGAUGUCUCUCCUCAGCGAGGACAGCUUUUUGAACGUUCGAUCUCAAAUCAGGUAGGACUACCCGCUGAACUUAAGCAUAUCAAUAAGCGGAGGAAAAGAAACUAACAAGGAUUCCCCUAGUAACUGCGAGUGAAGCGGGAAGAGCUCAAAUUUAAAAUCUG
rnacentral:rRNA from 1 species